rnacentral:rRNA from 1 species
CCUACGGGAGGCAGCAGUGGGGAAUAUUGCACAAUGGGGGAAACCCUGAUGCAGCGACGCCGCGUGAGCGAAGAAGUAUUUCGGUAUGUAAAGCUCUAUCAGCAGGGAAGAAAAAUGACGGUACCUGAGUAAGAAGCACCGGCUAAAUACGUGCCAGCAGCCGCGGUAAUACGUAUGGUGCAAGCGUUAUCCGGAUUUACUGGGUGUAAAGGGAGCGUAGACGGCUGCGCAAGUCAGAAGUGAAAGCCCGGGGCUCAACCGCGGGACUGCUUUUGAAACUGUAUAGCUAGAGUGCAGGGGAGGUA